AUUCAUACCUGGCAGGGGCAAUACUAUGAUCAUAAAGGUGUUUUUUUUCCCAGAGAAAGAUUUAUCUAUUGUAUUCUGGAUGUGGUGACCUCUGCUAUUUCCACAUGUGGGAAACUUGAUUGCAGAAUUUGUGCUAUUGGGGUAAGACAAAAGUAACAGCAUCAA
ensembl:snRNA U1 U1 spliceosomal RNA